UACAGAGGGGGCAAGCGUUGUUCGGAAUUACUGGGCGUAAAGGGCGCGUAGGCGGCCUGCUAAGUCGGACGUGAAAUCCCUCGGCUCAACCGGGGAACUGCGUCCGAUACUGGUGGGCUUGAAUCCGGGAGAGGGAUGUGGAAUUCCAGGUGUAGCGGUGAAAUGCGUAGAUAUCUGGAGGAACACCGGUGGCGAAGGCGGCAUCCUGGACCGGUAUUGACGCUGAUGCGCGAAAGCCAGGGGAGCAAACGGG
rnacentral:rRNA from 1 species